rnacentral:rRNA from 1 species
UACGAAGGGGGCUAGCGUUGUUCGGAAUUACUGGGCGUAAAGCGCACGUAGGCGGAUAUUUAAGUCAGGGGUGAAAUCCCGGGGCUCAACCCCGGAACUGCCUUUGAUACUGGGUAUCUUGAGUUCGGAAGAGGUGAGUGGAAUUGCGAGUGUAGAGGUGAAAAUUCGUAGAUAUUCGCAGGAACACCAGUGGCGAAGGCGGCUCACUGGUCCGAUACUGACGCUGAGGCGCGAAAGCGUGGGGAGCAAACAGG